rnacentral:rRNA from 1 species
CUGGAGACAGGUGCUGCAUGGCUGUCGUCAGCUCGUGUCGUGAGAUGUUGGGUUAAGUCCCGCAACGAGCGCAACCCUUGCCUUUAGUUGCCAGCAGUUCGGCUGGGCACUCUAAAGGGACUGCCGGUGUUAAACCGGAGGAAGUGGGGGAUGACGUCAAGUCCUCAUGGCCUUUAUGACCAGGGCUACACACGUACUACAAUGGCCGAUACAAAGGGCAGCGACACUGCGAGGUGAAGCCAAUCCCGUAAAAUCGGUCUCAGUCCGGAUUGGAGUCUGCAACUCGACUCCAUGAAGUUGGAAUCGCUAGUAAUCGUGGAUCAGCAUGCCACGGUGAAUACGUUCCCGGGCCUU